GAUGAACGCUGGCGGCGUGCCUAACACAUGCAAGUCGAGCGAACAGACGAGGAGUUUGCUCCUCUGACGUUAGGCGCACGCGUGUGUGUAACAUGUGGAUAACCUCCCUAUAAGAGUGGGAUCACUUCGAAACACCGGUGCUAAUACCGGAUAACAUCUUGAAACACAUGGGUCCACAGUGAAAUACGGUCUUGCGGUCACUUAUAGAUGGAUCCGCGCCGCUUUAGUGAGUUGGUAGGGUACGGCUUACCAAGGCAACGAUGCGUAGCCGACCUGAGAGGGUGAUCGGCCACACUGGAACUGAGACACGGUCCAGACUCCUACGGGAGGCAGCAGUAGGGAAUCUUCGGCAAUGGGCGAAAGCCUGACGGAGCAACGCCGCGUGUGUGAAGAAGGUCUUCGGAUCGUAAAGCUCUGUUGUUAGGGAAGAACAAAUGUGUACGUAAACGUGCACGGCAUGACGGUACCGGAUCAAAAAGCCACGGCUAACUACGUG
rnacentral:rRNA from 1 species